rnacentral:rRNA from 1 species
UGAGUAACACGUAUCCAACCUGCCGUCUACUCUUGGCCAGCCUUCUGAAAGGAAGAUUAAUACAAGAUGGCAUCAUGAGUUCACAUGUUCACAUGAUUAAAGGUAUUCCGGUAGACGAUGGGGAUGCGUUCCAUUAGAUAGUAGGCGGGGUAACGGCCCACCUAGUCUUCGAUGGAUAGGGGUUCUGAGAGGAAGGUCCCCCACAUUGGAACUGAGACACGGUCCAA